rnacentral:rRNA from 1 species
GACGUAGGAUGCAAGCGUUGUCCGGAUUUAUUGGGCGUAAAGAGUUCGUAGGCGGUUCGUUAAGUCUGGUGUUAAAGAUCGGGGCUCAACCCCGGGAGUGCACUGGAUACUGGCGGACUCGAGUGUGGUAGAGGCAAGUGGAAUUCCCAGUGUAGCGGUGAAAUGCGUAGAUAUGCGGAGGAACACCGAUGGCGAAGGCAAUCCCCUGGGCCUGCACUGACGCUCAUGCACGAAAGCGUGGGGAGCAAACAGG